rnacentral:rRNA from 1 species
AGAGUUUGAUCCUGGCUCAGGAUGAACGCUGGCGGCGUGCCUAAUGCAUGCAAGUCGAGCGACGCAUACCGGAGGGGUAACCCACUGGUAUGACGGAGCGGCGAACGGGUGAGUAACACGUGAGUAACCUGCCCCACAGACCGGGACAGCCCAGGGAAACCUGGAUUAAUACCGGAUACCCUCGAAGGAUCGCAUGAUCUUUCGAGGAAAUGCCUUUGUGCUGUGGGAUGGGCUCGCGACUUAUCAGCUAGUUGGUGGGGUAACGGCCUACCAAGGCGUCGACGAGUAGCUGGUCUGAGAGGACGAUCAGCCACACUGGGACUGAGACACGGCCCAGACUCCUACGGGAGGCAGCAGCAGGGAAUCUUGCGCAAUGGGCGAAAGCCUGACGCAGCAACGCCGCGUGGGGGAUGAAGGCCUUCGGGUUGUAAACCCCUUUCAGGAGGGAAGAAAUUGACGGUACCUCCAAAAGAAGCACCGGCCAACUACGUGCCAGCAGCCGCGGUAAUACGUAGGGUGCGAGCGUUAUCCGGAAUCAUUGGGCGUAAAGAGCUCGUAGGCGGUUCAGUAAGUCGGCUGUGAAAUUUCGAGGCUCAACCUCGAAACUGCAGUCGAAACUGCUGUGACUCGAGUCCGGUAGAGGAGAAUG